rnacentral:rRNA from 1 species
GAGAGUUUGAUCCUGGCUCAGAUUGAACGCUGGCGGCAGGCCUAACACAUGCAAGUCGAGCGGUAACACAGAGAGCUUGCUCUCGGGUGACGAGCGGCGGACGGGUGAGUAAUGUCUGGGAAACUGCCUGAUGGAGGGGGAUAACUACUGGAAACGGUAGCUAAUACCGCAUAACGUCGCAAGACCAAAGUGGGGGACCUUCGGGCCUCAUGCCAUCAGAUGUGCCCAGAUGGGAUUAGCUAGUAGGUGGGGUAAUGGCUCACCUAGGCGACGAUCCCUAGCUGGUCUGAGAGGAUGACCAGCCACACUGGAACUGAGACACGGUCCAGACUCCUACGGGAGGCAGCAGUGGGGAAUAUUGCACAAUGGGCGCAAGCCUGAUGCAGCCAUGCCGCGUGUAUGAAGAAGGCCUUCGGGUUGUAAAGUACUUUCAGCGAGGAGGAAGGCAUUAAGGUUAAUAACCUUGGUGAUUGACGUUACUCGCAGAAGAAGCACCGGCUAACUCCGUGCCAGCAGCCGCGGUAAUACGGAGGGUGCAAGCGUUAAUCGGAAUUACUGGGCGUAAAGCGCACGCAGGCGGUCUGUCAAGUCGGAUGUGAAAUCCCCGGGCUCAACCUGGGAACUGCAUUCGAAACUGGCAGGCUAGAGUCUUGUAGAGGGGGGUAGAAUUCCAGGUGUAGCGGUGAAAUGCGUAGAGAUCUGGAGGAAUACCGGUGGCGAAGGCGGCCCCCUGGACAAAGACUGACGCUCAGGUGCGAAAGCGUGGGGAGCAAACAGGAUUAGAUACCCUGGUAGUCCACGCCGUAAACGAUGUCGACUUGGAGGUUGUGCCCUUGAGGCGUGGCUUCCGGAGCUAACGCGUUAAGUCGACCGCCUGGGGAGUACGGCCGCAAGGUUAAAACUCAAAUGAAUUGACGGGGGCCCGCACAAGCGGUGGAGCAUGUGGUUUAAUUCGAUGCAACGCGAAGAACCUUACCUACUCUUGACAUCCAGAGAACUUAGCAGAGAUGCUUUGGUGCCUUCGGGAACUCUGAGACAGGUGCUGCAUGGCUGUCGUCAGCUCGUGUUGUGAAAUGUUGGGUUAAGUCCCGCAACGAGCGCAACCCUUAUCCUUUGUUGCCAGCGAUUAGGUCGGGAACUCAAAGGAGACUGCCAGUGAUAAACUGGAGGAAGGUGGGGAUGACGUCAAGUCAUCAUGGCCCUUACGAGUAGGGCUACACACGUGCUACAAUGGCAUAUACAAAGAGAAGCGACCUCGCGAGAGCAAGCGGACCUCAUAAAGUAUGUCGUAGUCCGGAUUGGAGUCUGCAACUCGACUCCAUGAAGUCGGAAUCGCUAGUAAUCGUAGAUCAGAAUGCUACGGUGAAUACGUUCCCGGGCCUUGUACACACCGCCCGUCACACCAUGGGAGUAGGUUGCAAAAGAAGUAGGUAGCUUAACCUUCGGGAGGGCGCUUACCACUUUGUGAUUCAUGACUGGGGUGAAGUCGUAACAAGGUAACCG